UGCAAUGAGGGUUAGGUUUAGGUUGUUGGUCUGCAAAUUGAAACGAAUAUACUCAGUGAGGCCGUGUGGAAAUCAAAGGCUCAGAGAGGUUCUGCAGAUAUCAUGUGCCGAAAAACACUUGCUUGACUAUUUCUGAUCUAGAGAUCGACUUUGAGUUUCACAUCCCCAUGCUCCUGACGAAGGUCCAAUCUAGCUGGAAAACGCUAGAACGUCGAGAAACCUGAAUAGUGGUGGAGGCGUCUUCGUUUGCAAAGAUGAUAACACAGUGAUCAAAGGGAAGAGUCCUUUGAUCUCAGUCUGUCCAACAGAUCACUUGACAGGCGACUUACUAAAGGACCCAGUGUGCACAGCACGCUAGAAAUGCGACUGAUAUACGAGGCAUUCAUCCAUCUCCUACCGCUUAAUCCUCUACAUGAGGGUCACAGGGGCUGCUGGUGCCAAUCCCAGCUGAAACAGGGUGAAAGGUCCGUCACAGGGCCACAUAGAGCGAAACAACCAUCCACUCCCACACCUGCAGUCAACCUCGAGCAGCGGUGUCAAACUCAAAUGACCUGGGGGGCCAAUGAGCAUCUUGUCUGGUACAGAGGGGGCCAGAGAAAGAAAGUGGGAAAAACAGCUGUUCAGUAGCAGUCUUAAAGAAAGGAGAUUGUAAAGUCCACGUGUGCCCACAUGUGAUUUCCUCCUGGCUCCUGCUUCCCACUAUACCUCCACCAAUCCAUCACAACUGCCAUAUGUGCACCCAGUGGCCACUGUCCUCACUAAUGAAGGAUCUAUACCCCUUCUGUGCACAUGGGUCCUUAAUUAAAGGGGACAGCUACCACAUCAUCGAGACACCUUAACAAUUCCAACGUAAACCUUGACAUGCUGUCUGCUCCCCUGUCAGCUUACAUCCAUCAACGCGCCACACGACACUAAGGGAACUGCUGGUUGGAACAUCAUGACCACACUAUGGCACUGCCUGAGGUCAGGUGGAUUCAGAGACACCCCGACAUCUUCUUGAGCUGACACGGCGAGUCAGAUGAGGCGCCUAAUGGGAAAUGACAUGUACAGUGGAACUCAUCAGCGGACUCAUCGCUGCAGGAAAAUAAGGUUAGAUUGCCUCUGGACAAUAAUACAGCCAUCACCUGCAAAUUAGCAACACUGGCACAGCGCGGGACCAAGCCACACGAGGUUGUCAUAGAAACUAAAAUGCAUAAUGUUGUGUCUGCAAUCAGCAUUAAUCAUGACAGAUUUGUCUAGGGUGGUGUGCAAGCAAAUGUGGUUUGUUUAUCUCGAGAUCCAAAAACAAGAGGCAUGUGGGAUGAGUUGAGAGGGUUCACUGUGUGCAUAAUGGGGUUGACAGUAUCAUAGUGCUGCUAUGACUAGUCGAUAGAAUCAUUGAUUUUAGUGUUUUUGACUCAUCGCAGUGUUAUUAAAUGAAUAACACGCAGAUGCUCAUGAGAGGAGAAAGCAGGAAUAUUAAAUUCUAAUGUAUGGGAGCAUAUUGGACCAAAAAAGAAACCCGUAAAAACAAUUUCACAGAUACUAAACCGUUCAGAUUUUUUGAUAGAGGGUGAAAACAUUGACCCCACGGUGUCGAGCCUGAGCUGUGAAAGGAGAAGCAAACACCAUCUCCUCAUCUUAGGUCAACAGUCACUACUUGUAUUAUGGGAUAUUGCUGUGUUCCUUCAUACUAUUGGUUGCAGCAUGCACCCCACACAUUCACACGGCUUUUUGUUGAAUCCCAAUAAAACCAUGAUUGCGUGGAUUUUGCCCUUUCAGUGCACCUUAAUGAGAAAGCUGCCAAUGAUGGAUCCCGUCUGCGACGUUACACUGAUACAUAACAAACAGCACUCGAUGCUCCAUGGAGAAUCCUUCAGCAAACGCCACGGCUGACAUAAUUGAUCGGCGGGAAAAGAGAGCACUCACACACCAUCAGAAACACCACUUCAAACAGGGAAAGAAGAACAGAGUACUUGAUUUGGAAGGCUGGAUGCAAACACAUGGGAAAUGUUCCCGUCUAGUGCGUCAGUCGGAGUCUCAGCUGUUCAUCACAGAACAAAGGCUCAAUUCUUCCUGUUUUAAAAGCAAAAGCAAAACAGGGAGAUGUGCAGCAUGCAGUUUUGUCAGAGUUGAGUGUUAAAUCAAAUGAAUCGUGUGUUUAGGGAACACGGUAUGCUCCUUCAUUGAUGAAGUUCAAGCCAGUAUAGGUUGAGCAGCUACUGUGGAAAAUAUUCAAUAAUAAUAUCUGUGUGGAUUCUGAAAUGGGUCAAAUGACUUUAACUGACUGGAUGUCUCUGUUUAUCUUUGCAUGGAUGGACGUGUCUCUGAUAACAUG